AGCGAGUCCCUAUGGUCACACUUUAACACAAAACAAAACAGAACACAGGAAUAUAGAUUUUAUAGCAGUAGAGCCACUGAGCAAGUUCCCCUUUAACUCGGAGGCAACAACACCGCCCCACUGGUUCACUCCGGGUGCGGAGCCAAGCGCCGCCUCUCAUGAGACUCCAACAUGACAAGCGUUCAAACGUUAACGGUUGACAAGAGAGCAAAAGGGAAUAAUAGAGCAACUUUAAUACUAAAAAGUGUAACAUGUCCAUAAUAUUCAACCAGACGUGACCGUGGUUUUUGAUCAGUAAAGUCGUUAAACUUUGUAAAUCCGGCUGACGCGCUAACCCCGAGCUAACGCAGUGUUGCUAUGAGCAGCUUGACACGCUAGCUGUCCGUGUCGUCUAAAGCCUCCUGUAGAGUUAGCAUUAGUUAGCUUUAGUUAAAACUGAGUCCAGGCCUCCUCUUAACACAUCCCAGCCGAUGUAACUAGACGGGUUGUGGUCGGGCUCUGCGGCAUCUGAGACACAUCUGGUCACUAACAACACUGUCAGCUCCAUCUGAGGCUGAGGAUGGAGAGAAAAGCCACAGCUUUGCAGACACUGUCCAGCUGAGCUGUCUGCAUGAUGAGCUGGAUCUCCACGGCCGAAGACACGAGCAGUGAAGAUGGAGAAGGAGAAUAGUCUGUCUAAGGUGUACCGGCACAGGAGGGGCUUCUGCCACUCUUUAAUCGCUUUAGUCUCUUUUGUCUGAGAGCUGAUGUCUGACUCCUGCAGGAAGAAGAAAAACCAUGAAGCCUUAGUCACAUAAAAAUCUACCUAUUCAUUUAUGAAUCCAACUGUGUCGUUCUUAUGCAUUUUUGAGUAUUUUAGAAAUUAAAUCUAUUUCUGUCCAAGCAUACUGCACUUUUGUUAGAAAAAAAAGUUUGAUGAAUUGAGCUUACCUCGUGGGUGCUCAUCCUUGUCUUAGAUUGUACACAUUUCUUCAUGUCUGUACAGAGUGUCUGUAGUGCCUGCUCCACUUGACUGUCAAAUGAACAAUCUGGAAAUUCCCUAAUUGUCUGGAUUUCAGAGCUGUAGCUCUUCAGGACAGCAAGAAUCUUCACAAUACAGGGCUACAGACAUAAGGAAAGAAGCAUUUAUGUCACCAUCAUUUCUUCUGUAAUUAUCAGCCUAUUGUCAUUAUCGCCUGUUUGUUUCAGAUGCCAUAAUUCCAAGCUGAUAGUGUGAUCUGCAUGUAACAAUAUUUUUUGCAUGUAGCUUACCACCGAGUCCUGUUUGAGACUGUCAGGAUCACACUGGUCCUUGGCUUCCAUCCACUCCAGUGGGCUGGAGAAACGUGUCACAUCUUUGGACCCGUUUCCUGCCUGUGGACCAUUCAAGAAUAUUGCAUUCAUUUUAGCCAUGCACAGCAAAAAUCUUUAAGUGUAAAAAUUAACACAGUGGCAGCAUCUACAUCAGCUCACAGCAUCAGAGUUAAUUUAAACUACUCAUAGCUUUUAAAUCAUUACCACCUGUAAAUGAAUACAAAACUGUGUUCUCUAGAUUACUGUCACAGAAAAAAUGGAAAUUGAAUUGCUUUACAUAGAUCAAGGUAUGCCUCAGAAUAUAGAAAAUAAUAAAAGUGUUGCAAUCUAUAAAAGUUGGAUGUCAUUCAUU